rnacentral:lncRNA from 1 species
ACUCGCCGAGUACCACCGGUCUGAAUCCAUUCAGAAGCAUUCCAGGCCAUGCAAUUGCUCCAAAACAUAGAUCUAGCCUCCUACCACUCAUCCAUCACGUAAAGUGGCAAACUUUACGUGAAUCCAAAGAGAUCUAGGCCAUUUGCACAUUGGGCUAGGGUUUGGGACAUGAAAGCUUCACUAAACACUCCAACACAGGGACUUUCAUGCUCUCUGAUUCUUCUCCCUUCCAGAUCUGAGGUAGCAACCUCAGAUCUAACCUCUAGACUUCCCAUUACAUCCAUAGACAAGUUCCCACAAACCCCAAAAUGAAGAAAAACAUAACAACAGCCCAAGAACGAGAUAUUACCUCCAAGAGAUGCCCCAACUGCAAUGUAAUUCGAAUCCAAGCAAAGCCCCUUGCUCCAAGCCUUCAAUCUCACAAAAUUCCUUCAACAAUUACUUCUCCAAGCUCCAAUCCACUCAACAAUGGUGCUUCUCCGCGAUUUAGGGUUUUCUGGGGCUCAAGGGGUGAUAAGGAGGCUGGGAGGAAAACAUAAUGUUCUUUAUAUAGGGCUCAACCCCGAGAAUUAGGGUUUUCUCCAAUCAGCGCCUACUCGUCGAGUCCUCCUCACUGACUCGCCGAGUCGGCUACUUAGCACGCGACCCAGUCGCGACUCUACUCGCCGAGUCCAUCCAUGGACUCGCCGAGUCACUCUUUCACAACUUACUCUUUUAGCCCUCCAACUCUACUCUUGAUAUUUCGGGAUGUUACAAUUCUCCCCCACUUAAAUUAGGCUUCGUCCUCGAAGCCUACAGCAACUCAAUUCCAGAAAUACUCCCACAACGUGCCACCUGGCCUUAAUCGGACCUGGUCUCACAAGGCAUACCCAUCGAAACUCGAACACGUUUUCCCUUUCCUUACGGUGUCCUGACCACCGUCUCGAACCGGGCACUGGCUGUACCCUCUGAUAAUCACACUCAACAAUCGAGAAUUACCCGAGAUGCAUCACUGCUCCAAAUCUCAACAAUCGCUCGACCCAUAAGGGCUAGAAAGCCAUGAACCAUCGGAUCCCCGAUCCGAAUCCCACUUUAUCCAUUCCGUGCUGACAGAAAGACCCACUCUUCAAUCUCAGAGCAACUCCCACGAGUUCUCCUCUUGCAAUCACAUACGCAUGCUGAACUUGCCCAGUACCCUCGGGUUGGGAAAAACCCGAUGCACUGAUGAUAUCCUCCAACAUCCCCCCAGGAUGAACCACUAGUACAUAUCCAAUACCCUGAUCAGAAUCAAGCUGGGAGUCCCCGACUCCCUCCCUGCAUUCAUCCUGAGACUCUUGGCCCUACUCUCACGGAACCCCUUCCGCGUCCUCAGCAGACAUCCCAACAUGAUGUCAUUCCAUACCACUGUCACAGACACAAUGUUCAACCACCAUACUCCAAAUCAUCCACUCUCACUACUACUUUCACNCCCCCCCCGGGGUUACAUACCUUUCUCUUUCCUUACCCAGGGAAACCACUAGCCAACCUUUCCACCACACCAUGUAUCACACAUGCUCUGGAUCUGCUCGCAAGGGCCCUCGGGUCCAUGCACUACCUCUCCCCAACAAAUGAGGGUCCGACACCUCCUUUCAUACAACAGCUCAAAGGGUGGCGUACUAAUGCACUAAUGAUGGUUGUUGAUAUAGGAUAACUCAACCAAAGAUAAAUACGUGCCGCAACUCCCUCCGAGAUCUAAUACACAUGCCCGAAGCAUGUCUUCGAGCGUCUGAAUCGCUCGUUCGCUCUGAAGUGUCCUCAGACAUCAUCAUGAUCCAAAUAACCCACUAACUUCCUCCCCGUGACCACUAUCCCGGCCCAGGGACGCGCAAGUCACAAAAUUCUCUUUUCCUCAUGCGAGAAAAUACAAUCCAACCGAGGAUCGCCUAAACUCUAAUCUCUGGUUUCUGCUGCGCAUAUCCCUUGCGCAUCUCACCGCAUCUCCCGACAGAGACGGUGACCCCAGUCUCGCCCCCGGUUCAACACCCAGGCUCCAGAACUCAAUACUAGGGAUACUCAAGCCCAAAACUCUUCCACAUCAUACACUGAUCGGAGAUCAUUCCAUCAUCACAUUCUCUUGCCAUCUAGUGAGUACUACGGCUCCCCGCAGUAUCACAACACCCUCUAACUAGUGAGUACUACGGCUCCCCGCAGUAUCACAACACCCUCUGACUAGUGAGUACUACGGCUCCCCGCAGUAUCACAACACCCUCUGACUAGUGAGUACUACGGCUCCCCGCAGUAUCACAACACCCUCUGACUAGUGAGUACUACGGCUCCCCGCAGUAUCACAACACCCUCUGACUAGUGAGUACUACGGCUCCCCGCAGUAUCACAACACCCUCUGACUAGUGAGUACUACGGCUCCCCGCAGUAUCACAACACCCUCUGACUAGUGAGUACUACGGCUCCCCGCAGUAUCACAACACCCUCUGACUAGUGAGUACUACGGCUCCCCGCAGUAUCACAACACCCUCUGACUCCACUAGUUCAUGCUCCGCAGACUAUCACAGGCAGCUACCCAUACUCGGCUCGAAUACACAUUCCAGACUCUGGAAGCAAUCGACAUAUCAAAAUGCCCACCCUUGCGAAGUUCCAUUCUCUUAAUAAUCUCCCUGGAUGCCCAUACUCGAAGGGCUCCCACUAGAUCCGUAGAUACCUGAUACACCACAAAUCGUUUCAACUCAAGAUUUACGAGUAACUCCGAAAUAAAGGUAUCAUACCCGGAUACCUCAGAAUAUCCCAACAGAACAUCACAAGAUCCUGCCACAACCACUGAUUCCCUUACUCCCAAUACCAUACACUCACGACAAUACAUUUCCUUUGAAUCCCAUAAUAAUUUCUGAUAUCACACGAUGCGCAACUUCAGUGCAUCCAAACACUCAAUUGGAAUACAAGGAAGGCGCUAACCCUUCAGAACACACUGAUGAUCCUCCGAAACCCUUUCCACUACCACUCAAAAUUCAAGCAAGAAUACACAUCCUAGCCCGGGAAAUUGGCUACUCGAUAAUCGGCUACCCAUAUCUCAACCCAGAAGUUCUCAACUGCCCAUACCAUCAUUACGAGCCUUCCACUCGAGACGACUCUGACCACCAUCAGAUUCCUGAUCAUUGACCACCCGCCGUGGAGACACCCAUCCUUCUCUUAGACAUAUAUCACAUGCAUUAUCUCGCCCUGCACCUUCCUUAAUCACCCAUGACCCUGAUCUCAUGAAUUCAAGCCGCAGGUUCUACAUCCAACCCCUAACCGCUCUUGCACCAAUCUCUGGUUCUCUCAAUAAACCACCCAGUUCUCCCCCACUUAGGGUUCGAACCAUCACUAUCUGACACAUCAACAACCUCACGAACUAUUUCCACCAGCAAUAACGCACCUGCCCCUGGAAAGUGCUACGCAACACCCGAUAAUCCCCUUUAAGGAAAUUAAUCGAUCUCAUAACUCUGAUCCUCAGAUGAACUCCUCAAGAACUUUUCGCCACGACUGCCUCUAGUCGUUCCAAAUCUCGUACCAAUCAAGUACCAAACAACUCAACUGCUCAAUAACAUCCCUGGCUCAUAGACCGAACCACAAAAUCAUCGUACCCCUCACCUCAACUCAUCAAACAUCGCUCCAACACCGGGAUCAUCCCAAGAACAGGGACCCACUCCCAUAUUCAACACCCAACAUAGAUAGAAAACUCUCUGCACUGCUAAACUCGACUGAACUCCCCACUGAUACCACUAUAAUACAUCCUACUAUACUCAAAUAGGUGUAGUGUGGUCCUCGACUAUCUCAGUCCCAACUGACUAUCUGCUCAUGACAAAUCACUGCCUCGCGGCACACAUGCUACCUGAUACUCUGGAAGAAAUCAUCAUCAAUAACGACCUGCAGGGUUUACCCCCAAACCCAAAACUAAAACAUCAGGCCUUUCAUGUUCCGCACACGAACAUAAAUAGCACCACUCACAUAGAAGGUGACCUCUCCUCUAUCGACUGAUUGCUCAACUCAGACCGAAAUUCUCCUCUCCCUCUAACUCCUUACCAAAAUACUCUGAUAGGCUCUCGCCUUCCCUCUCGAGGGACGCCUCUCCAAAUUCAAUCAUGGCCUACAGGCCUAAAACCCAUAGCGUCCAAUCUCUACCUCAUCAAUCGUGAUCGGAUAACCAGAGAAUCACAAGCAUCAUUCACUACGAACCAUGGUACUCAUCCCAUGACAUCUCUUCUCAAUAUGCUCCGGUGUAUGGUACCCGAACCAUAGCAUCACUCCUCCAUCUGCUCCGAUGUAUGAUACUCGAACCAUAACAUCACUCCUCAAUCUGCUCCGAUGUAUGGUACUCAACCAUAUCAUCACUCCUCAAUCUGCUCCGAUGUAUGGUACUCAACCAUAACAUCACUCUUCAAUCCGCUCCAAUGUAUGGUACUCGAACCAUAACAUCACUCCUCAAUCUGCUCUGAUGUAUGGUACUCGAACCAUACAUCACUCCUUAAUGCGCUCAUUAGAAUCUUCAGAAUACUCCCUGUAUCAAGUAUGGGUCCUCUGCUUUCAGUAGUACGGGCCCAUACUACCUUCCACAUCUACCCAUACUUUCCACACGGACUAUCCCGGAGCUCCUAAGUAGCUGCUCGACCUUCUCGUUCACCAAUUCCAUCGCGCGCUCGCUCCCCAGCGAAAUUCUCUACCCUGCCAGUGCACUCAUCUGGCUAAGGUUACUCCCUAGGCUCUUCUUAGAUUCCCACACUUCUCUGCCAUCAGCUGCUGAAGAGCUCCUAAUGAUGCCAGCCAUCUACCUCCUGAAUAUCGUCAUAUUCGCUUGGUAGCUGACUCCCAUCAUCGAGAGUUCCACAAAGCACGAAGCAAGCAGCAUUCGAGCAUCGAAGAAUAUAUAUGACUCACUCUGGGUGAUAACUCCGCUUGCUCUGCUCAUCCUCGGAAGUACCACCGAACUCUGCAACUCUUCCCCUCGCGGGCUCUAACUAUUCUUUCUCCAAGUACUACAGUACUCAUCUAGGUAUCUUCCCUAGAUUACUCCACUACUCAAAUCCCCUAAAGGAUUCCAAUCAAAUAUUCUCACUCAUCACAUACUCAAAAGCACAACGCAUAUCACAGCAAUUCCUAGGCUAAGGCAUCACAAAUCAGGCCACUCUACUCCUAAUAUAUGGAAUACCUAGCCUGUCUCUAGCAUGCAAUAAUAUCUCAUAAAGUGCAUCAUAAAUAUCUCAUAACACAAAAGUAAGGGUAUUUUGGGAAAUCACCGUUCGGGCUCUGGCUGAUUGUACACACUGCUCUUUCUCGUUUUCUCUUUGAACUCUUAUUCGCUUUAGAAAAUUAUUUCUUUGAAAACUUUUCUUACUUCCUCAGUUUGAGUCCAGAAUUACCCGAAGGCGCAUCCGAAUCCCUCAAACCAAGGCUCUGAUACCAACUUGUAACACCGUAAAUUUCAAGACAAAAUUUUCAUUUUAAAUAAUCAUUUUAUUCUUAGAACACUUGUUAAAAAUCUCAUUCAUAAUCAAAUUACAAAACAUAGCUCCAUUUUCACUUGCAUAGAAAACCAGGAUCCUCCAAAAUAUGACUCUUGCUCUGGUGUGUACAAUCAAGCCGGUGCCGUACCGUGAUACUGAAAGAAACCUGAAAACAACAUAACACAAAACACUGUAAGCACGAAGCUUAGUGAGUUCCCCAAAAUACCACACACAUAACACAUAUAAGCCACUCGAGGCUAUAACUCUAUGGGUCCGUGCACCCAAACUCUGUGAACCCUCAGGUUCUAACUCUGUGAACCUUCCGGUUCUAACUCUAGGAACCCUUCGGUUCCAACUCUGCAAACAUGCACAGCAUAAAUCACAUAGAAAUAAUGCAGUACAACACAUAACAUACAUAGCAUACAAAUACUCUGUCACAUAACUCUGGUUACCUACUCAAGGUAAAGUAUAGUGAGAAGACUCACCUGGCAAGCAAAAAGCAGAUAUCUCCAUACUCGGAUCUCGAACUCGCCACCGCCUAACACGUAAGGCAAAACUCUCAUGACUAUAACUCUCGAGACUAGAAUCAAUCCUCUCAAUGCACCCUCUUAAGGGUAAAAGACUAUUUUACCCCUCUCUUGGCCCAAAGGCCACAUCGCUGACCAAACCCUAAAAGUCAACGGUCAACCCUUGGUCAAAAUCAAAGUCCUCAGUCAAAGUCAACCCCUGACUGACCCUACUCGCCGAGUCAACUCUAUGACUCGCCGAGUUUCUAUAAUCAGAACUUCACUCAAUCCGCGACCUAACUCGCCGAGUCACUCCGAGACUCGCCGAGUCCAACAACUCUGAGUCCACUCGCACACAACUCACCGAGUCAUCCCUUGACUCACCGAUUCUCGACUCAACCAGGGAAUAUCGGGACUCUUCGACAAGACUCGCCGAGUCCAAGAACAGACUCGCCGAGUCCAAGACUAUCAUCAACCUACUCGCCGAGUUGUUCAUACAACUCGCCGAGUUCCAGGCCAUCUUCAUCCAACUCGUCGAGUACACCCAUGUGACUCGCCGAGUACCACCGGUCUGAAUCCAUUCAGAAGCAUUCCAGGCCAUGCAAUUGCUCCAAAACAUAGAUCUAGCCUCCUACCACUCAUCCAUCACGUAAAGUGGCAAACUUUACGUGAAUCCAAAGAGAUCUAGGCCAUUUGCACAUUGGGCUAGGGUUUGGGACAUGAAAGCUUCACUAAACACUCCAACACAGGGACUUUCAUGCUCUCUGAUUCUUCUCCCUUCCAGAUCUGAGGUAGCAACCUCAGAUCUAACCUCUAGACUUCCCAUUACAUCCAUAGACAAGUUCCCACAAACCCCAAAAUGAAGAAACAACAUAACAACAGCCCAAGAACGAGAUAUUACCUCCAAGAGAUGCCCCAACUGCAAUGUAAUUCGAAUCCAAGCAAAGCCCCUUGCUCCAAGCCUUCAAUCUCACAAAAUUCCUUCAACAAUUACUUCUCCAAGCUCUAAUCCACUCA